GUCCACAGCCAUCCCACCCUGAAUGCACCUGAUCUUGUCUGGUAUUGGAAGCAAAGCAGGGUUGGGCCUGGUUAGUACUUGGAUGGGAGAAGACCCAUGACCAAGGAAACCAGUGAACC
ensembl:rRNA 5S_rRNA 5S ribosomal RNA